rnacentral:lncRNA from 1 species
AUGGUAGGGCACUAGUAGUACUGUAGGGUGCAUGGUAGGGCACUAGUAGUAGGGUAGGGUACAUGGUAGGGCACUAGUAGUACUGUAGGGUACAUGGUAGAGCAUUAGUAGAGCAUUAGUAGUAGGGUAAGGUAGGGUGCAUGGUAGGGCACUAGUAGUAGGGUAGGGUGCAUGGUAGAGCAUUAGUAGAGCAUUAGUAGUAGGGUAAGGUAGGGUGCAUGGUAGGGCACUAGUAGUACUGUAGGGUACAUGGUAGAGCACUAGUAGUACUGUAGGGUACAUGGUAGAGCACUAGUAGUACUGUAGGGUACAUGGUAGGCCACUAGUAGUAGGGUAGGGUGCAUGGUAGGGCACUAGUAGUUCUGUAGGGUACAUGGUAGAGCACUAGUAGUACUGUAGGGUACAUGGUAGGGCACUAGUAGUACUGUAGGGUACAUGGUAGGGCACUAGUAGUACUGUAGGGUGCAUGGUAGGGCACUAGUAGUACUGUAGGGUACAUGGUAGGGCACUAGUAGUAGGGUAGCGUACAUGGUAGGGCACUAGUAGUAGGGUAGGGUACAUGGUAGGGCACUAGUAGUACUGUAGGGUACAUGGUAGGGCACUAGUAGUAGGGUAGGGUACAUGGUAGGGCACUAGUAGUACUGUAGGGUACAUGGUAGAGCAUUAGUAGAGCAUUAGUAGUAGGGUAAGGUAGGGUGCAUGGUGGAGCACUAGUAGUAGUGUAGGGUACAUGGUAGAGCAUUAGUAGAGCAUUAGUAGUAGGGUACGGUAGGGUGCAUGGUAGGGCACUAGUAGUACUGUAGGGUACAUGGUAGAGCACUAGUAGUACUGUAGGGUACAUGGUAGAGCACUAGUUGUACUGUAGGGUACAUGGUAGGCCACUAGUAGUAGGGUUGGGUGCAUGGUAGGGCACUAGUAGUACUGUAGGGUACAUGGUAGAGCACUAGUAGUACUGUAGGGUACAUGGUAGAGCAUUAGUAGAGCAUUAGUAGUAGGGUAAGGUAGGGUGUAUGGUAGGGCACUAGUAGUAGGGUAGGGUACAUGGUAGAGCAUUAGUAGAGCAUUAGUAGUAGGGUAAGGUAGGGUGCAUGGUGGAGCACU